rnacentral:tRNA from 1 species
GGGGCUGUAGCUCAAUUGGUAGAGCGCCACAAUGGCAUUGUGGAGGUCGACAGUUCGAUUCUGUUCAGCUCCA